rnacentral:rRNA from 1 species
UACGUAGGGGCAAGCGUUAUCCGGAAUUACUGGGCGUAAAGGGUGCGUAGGUGGUUUCUUAAGUCAGAGGUGAAAGGCUACGGCUCAACCGUAGUAAGCCUUUGAAACUGGGAAACUUGAGUGCAGGAGAGGAGAGUGGAAUUCCUAGUGUAGCGGUGAAAUGCGUAGAUAUUAGGAGGAACACCAGUUGCGAAGGCGGCUCUCUGGACUGUAACUGACACUGAGGCACGAAAGCGUGGGGAGCAAAACAGGAUUAGAUACCCUGGUAGUCCCUGAG